AUUGAACGCUGGCGGCAUGCCUUACACAUGCAAGUCGAACGGCAGCACGGGAGCUUGCUCCUGGUGGCGAGUGGCGAACGGGUGAGUAAUACAUCGGAACGUACCCUGAAGUGGGGGAUAACGUAGCGAAAGUUACGCUAAUACCGCAUAUUCUGUGAGCAGGAAAGAGGGGGAUCGCAAGACCUCUUGCUUUAGGAGCGGCCGAUGUCGGAUUAGCUAGUUGGUGAGGUAAAGGCUCACCAAGGCGACGAUCCGUAGCGGGUCUGAGAGGAUGAUCCGCCACACUGGGACUGAGACACGGCCCAGACUCCUACGGGAGGCAGCAGUGGGGAAUUUUGGGACAAUGGGCGCAAGCCUGAUCCAGCCAUGCCGCGUGAGUGAAGAAGGCCUUCGGGUUGUAAA
rnacentral:rRNA from 1 species